rnacentral:misc_RNA from 1 species
AACGCAGAAUUGUCACUGAAACUUGUGUAUUUCAUUAAAUUGAUCUAAUCCAGCUGUCUGUUUGAGCUGUUUCUAAUUGGGGUUCAAGGUCAAUACCAAGCUACAGCCCUAUGAAGUGGUCUCAGAUAGGAGAAUUUGGAGAAGUUCGCUGCCUUCUAGCAUUUUUUGUAAAUUGGCUGCCCUCAAAACUUGAUAUACCCCCUCUGUCGGUGCACAAUCAGAUACUGAAAAUUAUCAUCAGAUACUGAAAAUUAUCUUUAUUAUUG